rnacentral:rRNA from 1 species
UACGAAGGGGGCUAGCGUUGUUCGGAAUUACUGGGCGUAAAGCGCACGUAGGCGGAUAUUUAAGUCAGGGGUGAAAUCCCAGGGCUCAACCCCGGAACUGCCUUUGAUACUGGGUAUCUCGAGUCCGAGAGAGGUGAGUGGAAUUCCGAGUGUAGAGGUGAAAUUCGUAGAUAUUCGGAGGAACACCAGUGGCGAAGGCGGCUCACUGGCUCGGUACUGACGCUGAGGUGCGAAAGCGUGGGGAGCAAACAGG